rnacentral:rRNA from 1 species
GAUGAACGCUAGCGGCGCGCUUAACACAUGCAAGUCGAGCGAGAAAGGGCUUCGGCCCCAGUACAGCGGCGCACGGGUGAGUAACACGUGGGUAAUCUACCCCUGAGUGGUGGAUAACCCUCCGAAAGGAGGGCUAAUACAGCAUAAGACCACGGCGUCCUCGGAUGUCGCGGCCAAAGCGGGCCUCUUCAUGAAAGCUCGUGCUCGGGGAUGAGCCCGCGGCCCAUCAGCUUGUUGGCGAGGUAAAAGCUCACCAAGGCAAAGACGGGUAGCUGGUCUGAGAGGAUGAACAGCCACACUGGAACUGAGACACGGUCCAGACUCCUACGGGAGGCAGCAGUGGGGAAUCUUGCGCAAUGGGCGAAAGCCUGACGCAGCGACGCCGCGUGAGCGAUGAAGGCCCUCGGGUCGUAAAGCUCUGUGGGGAGGAAAGAAUAAGGGUAGGUUAAUAUCCUGCCUGAUGACGGUACCUCCUUAGCAAGCACCGGCU